rnacentral:rRNA from 1 species
GACGAACGCUGGCGGCGUGCCUAAUACAUGCAAGUCGAACGAAGCUGUUUUAACUGGUGCUUGCACCGACUUAAACAACUGAGUGGCGAACGGGUGAGUAACACGUGGGUAACCUGCCCAAAGCGGGGGAUAACAUUUGGAAACAGAUGCUAAUACCGCAUAACCACAGAAACCACAUGGUUUCUGUGUCAAAGAUGGUUUCGGCUAUCACUUUGGGAUGGACCCGCGGCGUAUUAGCUAGUUGGUAAGGUAAUGGCUUACCAAGGCAAUGAUACGUAGCCGAACUGAGAGGUUGAUCGGCCACAUUGGGACUGAGACACGGCCCAAACUCCUACGGGAGGCAGCAGUAGGGAAUCUUCCACAAUGGACGAAAGCCUGAUGGAGCAACGCCGCGUGAGUGAAGAAGGUUUUCGGAUCGUAAAACUCUGUUGUCAGAGAAGAACGUGUGCGAGAGUAACUGUUCGUGCAGUGACGGUAUCUGGCCAGAAAGCCACGGCUAACUACGUGCCAGCAGCCGCGGUAA